UUGUGGGCUUGAUCCCUAGAACAUGGCUCUGAGAACCAGGAAAAUUAUUCCCAGGCCUUGCGACUUAAUCAAGAAACUUUCAAUGUUUGCUCAGCUGGAUUUCAGAAAUAAAUGGGCCAGUGACUCCUUUGUGCCUGUUAUUUCCCCUCUUUUUGCACGGGAAUGUCUAUAGCAGUUACCCUGUUACUAUCUCACCAUUGUAUGUUGAGUGCAUGGAGGGACAAAUAGUUUUGGUUUUUUCCAAGGGGAGAGAAACUGUACUCAAAGAGCUAUACUGAAGGAAGUCAACUGCACCUGCACCUGAUUUCGAUGGAGAUGCUGGACUUCAUGAGCUCUAUCUCUUGAAUAACCCCCUGUUGGAGAAGCAAGCUGCCAUGUUGAAUGCACCUCUAAGGAGAAGACCACCAGGCAGAAUACUUACGUCUCAGGCCAGCUAGGAACUGUGUUCUGCCAACAACCAUGUGAGUGAAUGUGGAAGUGAAUUCUUCAGCUCUACUCUGGCCUUGAGAUGACUGCAGCUCCAGCCAAUAUCUUGACUGUAACCUCAUGAGAGGCUCUGAGCCAGAACCACCUGGCUAAGCCACUCUCAGAUUACUAAACCUCAGGAACUGUGUGAGAUAAUAACAUUUUUGUUGUUUUAA